rnacentral:lncRNA from 1 species
GAAUGAUGCCAAAUUAUGUACCCAUAGGUAGUUUUGAUAUAUCUGGAUAAACAUUUUCUAUGUUGACUAUAAUUAUGAGUUAUAGUCUACAGCAUGUGUAGUCAUAAUUAUCGCAUUCGCACUCUAUGAGUUACUUGGUUUUAUCUAUGACUUGUAUAGAUAAAGCUAUUUGUAGAAACUUUACACAUAAUCAAUUUACUUUUACUUACAAAAAAAAAA